rnacentral:rRNA from 1 species
UGCCAGACUCCUACGGGAGGCAGCAGUGGGGGAUAUUGCACAAUGGGGGAAACCCUGAUGCAGCGACGCCGCGUGGGCGAAGAAGUAUUUCGGUAUGUAAAGCCCUAUCAGCAGGGAAGAAGAAAUGACGGUACCUGAGUAAGAAGCACCGGCUAAAUACGUGCCAGCAGCCGCGGUAAUACGUAUGGUGCAAGCGUUAUCCGGAUUUACUGGGUGUAAAGGGAGCGCAGGCGGCACGGCAAGCCUGGAGUGAAAGCCCGUGGCUUAACUACGGGACUGCUCUGGAAACUGUGCAGCUAGAGUGCAGGAGAGGCAGGCGGAAUUCCUAGUGUAGCGGUGAAAUGCGUAGAUAUUAGGAGGAACACCGGUGGCGAAGGCGGCCUGCUGGACUGUAACUGACGUUGAGGCUCGAAGGCGUGGGGAGCAAACAGGAUUAGAUACCCUAGUA